GACGAACGCUGGCGGCGUGCCUAAUACAUGCAAGUCGAACGCAGUGGGGACGGGUGAGUAACACGUGGGUAACCUCCCAUCAGAGGGGAUAACACUUGGAAACAGGUGCUAAACCGAUACUGAUGGAUGAACCCGCGGUGCAUUAGCUAGUUGGUGUGGUAACGGCUCACCAAGGCCACGAUGCAGAGGCGCGCUGAGAGGGGUGAGGGGCACACUGGGACUGAGAGACGGACCAGACCCCUACGGGAGGCAGCAGUAGGGAAUCUGUGGCAAUGGACAAAAGUCUGACCGAGCAACGGCGCGUGAGUGAAGAGGGGUUUCGGAUCGUAAUACUCGUUAGUUAGAGAAGCGGUAUCUAACCAAAAAGCCACGGCUAACUACGUGCCAGCAGCCGCGGUAAUAC
rnacentral:rRNA from 1 species